AUCAAUUCAUCACAAUAGAUUGUGAAUGAGAUCAAGUGUCCACCGUUUUCUACUUGGGGAUCAUUUAGUAGUUUUAUUACAGUGGUAUAGAAGCUGUCUUUGAACCUGGUGCCACAGGUACAGCAGUUGCUAUACCAAGAUGGAUCCAGAAAGGAUGCUUUCUACGGUGCAUCAAUAAAAAUGACCUCAUAAAAAAUGAAAAAAAAGGUAGCCUGGAAAACCUCCGUAAAACUGAAAUCAAAGGGAGUCAGGGAGAAAACUCUUUCUGCCUCACAUAAAGAAAAAUACUUGUAAUUGCUGGAGGCCAGUCAUCCUAUUUGCGGGCCAUCACUGCAGGAGCUCAUCUGGACAGUGUCCUCAAGCUAAACAUCCCAACUGACCUAUCAAUGACUUUCCUUCCAUCGUAAGAUGGCAACACAGGGGUCUAGAGGCAGGGAAAGAAUAUUCUUGUGAAUCUGCAAUGCUGUCUCCAGACCACAUAAAAUCUCAACGCAUCAAUUCAAACAUGCGCUUCCUUCUGAUUACCAGCUUACAUCCCUCAACUGCUGAUUCAAUAUUUCUCCCAAUGAUAUCUAGAAAUGGCCAAGAGCAUUGGAUACAACAAAGACAAUAGGACCAAACAUCAUCCUGCCUGGAAUUUUGCAGAUCUGUGCUCUAGAACUAGCUGCACCUCUAACUGAGAUGUUCUAAUACUGACAAUCUGAUCAGUCUGAUCUCAAUGAUCAACAAAAUGGGUCGAAGAAUCAAAUUGCAGAGAAGAGAAGAGAGUGAUUGCCUUGACAACAAGGCCUCUAGUAAAACUGAACCUAAUGGGCAUGAAAGGGAAAAUGAUCCAAUGUUUGGAGGCAGCCCACACACAAAGAAAGAUGAUUGUCAUGUGGAAGUCUCAGAUCUUCACUGCAGGAGAUCUUCAGGGCACUGACAGCAUCAGUUGCUUCCACUAUAAGCUUCUUCCUAAUGAAUUUCAAUUGCUUCAAAGACUUUGGAUGCCUUUUGACACUGGUUAUAUCAAGGUAUGCCGAGUAUAUUGGUCAGAUAAUGCUAAUGCAGUUGAUUAGGUUUUUUUGUGGUAUAUCUUGUGCCUUUGAGAAUGUUGUGGAUGAUGUGAUACGUUUCCACAUCAGUCUCUGCUGAUUGUUGUAUAUUGAC